UUCUGUUGUUACCCCUUCGCUCUCAAACUAAAGAUGACCUAUGAGGCUUUGUCCAGUUUUGCUCUUCAUAUUAACUUGUAGAGUCUCGUGUCCAUUCUACAGGUUGAGUUGGACAUUUCCUUGUAUUUACUACUGUUGCCAGAGACCAGGGAAAGGUCAGCACCACCACCGAGAUUUCCUCUCCCAGCAGCCUGGGCAAAUCACCACUUCCAAGUAGGAAAUGAGAGAGAAACACACUCUGGCAGCGGGACAAUGUCAUCAUUGGUUGUUUAACUCUUGUUACCAGUAUAGUUUUAUUUCUUGGGGGAAGAGUGUUGACCUAGAAAUUAAGAGACAUGGGUAUUUACCUGUCCUGUUAAUUUUUACUUUUUCUCUGCCUCUCAAGUUGGCUGUGAUAAAAUCUGUGCCCACCUCCCUGCCCAGGACACAUGAGGCGAUAUGGACGUUUCAAGUGGCUGCGGAGACGAGAGCAAGGAAGAGAGCAUGGCAGCAAAGAUUCCAAUCACAGAAACAAAAGCCUACCAGUUGCUGAAGUGGUCUACCCUUCAGGAUAAUACAAAUCAAACUGAAGACAGGUUCCAAAAGGCAGAUGCUUCUGC